rnacentral:rRNA from 1 species
AUGAACGCUGGCGGCGUGCCUAAUACAUGCAAGUCGAGCGAACGGACGAGAAGCUUGCUUCUCUGAUGUUAGCGGCGGACGGGUGAGUAACACGUGGAUAACCUACCUAUAAGACUGGGAUAACUUCGGAAAACCGGAGCUAAUACCGGAUAAUAUUUUGAACCGCAUGGUUCAAAAGUGAAAGACGGUCUUGCUGUCACUUAUAGAUGGAUCCGCGCUGCAUUAGCUAGUUGGUAAGGUAACGGCUUACCAAGGCAACGAUGCAUAGCCGACCUGAGAGGGUGAUCGGCCACACUGGAACUGAGACACGGUCCAGACUCCUACGGGAGGCAGCAGUAGGGAAUCUUCCGCAAUGGGCGAAAGCCUGACGGAGCAACGCCGCGUGAGUGAUGAAGGUCUUCGGAUCGUAAAACUCUGUUAUUAGGGAAGAACAUAUGUGUAAGUAACUGUGCACAUCUUGACGGUACCUAAUCAGAAAGCCACGGCUAACUACGUG